UACGGGGGGAGCAAGCGUUGUUCGGAUUUACUGGGCGUAAAGGGCGCGUAGGCGGCCUGUGCAAGUCAGUUGUGAAAUCUCCGAGCUUAACUCGGAACGGUCAACUGAUACUGCUCGGCUAGAGUGCGGAAGGGGCAACUGGAAUUCUUGGUGUAGCGGUGAAAUGCGUAGAUAUCAAGAGGAACACCUGCGGCGAAGGCGGGUUGCUGGGCCGACACUGACGCUGAGACGCGAAAGCGUGGGGAGCAAACAGG
rnacentral:rRNA from 1 species